rnacentral:lncRNA from 1 species
GAUGAGGACACAAAUGUGACUGUUCUCACUUCGAUGACCGGCAACUUCACGCUCCAACUUGACUCGGUGCAGCUCAAACAUAUUGUUAAAACAAACAACAUAUGUUACGACCCGUUUUAUCCCUACACAAAUUUCUAUACUGCAGGUAAUACCUCCCUGUUUACAUUGUACAAAUAAGAAAGCCCAAUUAGUAUGUUUCACUCAGAUUCAAUGCAGUUGCUUUAUGCACUUGGUUGCGGUAAUAUUGUUCCUUUGAGUAAGGAUAUAUAUAAAUACAUUGUGCUGUUUGUUUUUUGUUGGUCUGGUGAUUUUAUGGUGAUCUAAAUUCUUAUUAUUACUAGGCUACAUUAAAGCUAGAACAGGAAUAUAACUAUUGCUUUGAUGCCUGGCCAUUGCUAAAUCCUAACUAUGAUUAUGUGCUUGCAAUGAUCUUGUCAUCAGAGGGUCUCAAACAAUUGAAAUGAAACCAUCUGCUCUGUGAAAUAGUUAACCAAUUGGUACAUCUAGAAGCUUAAAGCUUGUUAAGUUUUCUCAUUCAUUGUUUUGCCUUGUAAGCUUAAAAUUUAUCUUGAUCAAUCUUGAUAGUUAUCGUCAAUUCAUAGUACCAUGUACUCUAGUUUUUAUUGAGGAGUAGUACUAGUUCAUUAAUUUCACAUAGUACCAUGUAAUGCUUGUUUCCAAUCUGCACAUAUUUUAUUUUGGCAUUAUGGUCAUAACUGGUACAAACUCGCUCGAAAAUAAUUCUGGAUAAAUGAAUUUUUUUCUGAACAUGUAAAUAAAGCAUUCUUUUUUGGACCCAGCAACAUUUACUAUCCUUGGCUCAACUUUUCUUUCAAUUUUCGUUUGGUUUGCGCUUCUUUUGCUUGUAGCAAGGCAGGGCAGUCGGUCAGGAAGGGGUGAAUCUGGAACUAAUUGUGAUCGGACCAGAUCUGCUAACAUACUAUCUUGGUCGAACAAUUUAGGUAAUUUUAUCUUCCCGUAUAUGUUUUUUUUCCUGCUUUCCCAAUUUACAAGAUGGUGCCAUGGCAAUUCUUAGAUUUCCAAAAAGCAUGCCUUUGAGUAGAGAUCCCAGGCAUCUUUUUGCCUCAGAUGACAGGCAUCUUGUCACUGAUCUUUUAUGUUCUACUGCAAUCGUACAUAGUUAUGUAGCACACAAAGUAAAUGUUCUCUUAUUGCUGCUCUCCAUUUGUAGUAUCAAUUUCUCUAAUAGCGCUGGGAUGAUUCAGCUCUGGAUAUUUUGUUUCGUAUAAUUUGCACUAUGGCAAAGUUAAUGUUUAUUGUUGGGGAUCAUACAUAAUUUGGCUUUUCUGUGAGAGAGCAUUACCAAUUUGUUCUUACUGAGAUGACAUUGAUUGUUUUGCAGGUAUGAAGAGUUAAAUUCGGGUUGCUGAGACGCAGCCAUGGCUAGUUGGCAUACGGAAGUUCUUCUAUUUUGCUGAGAUGCAGACAUGGCCAGUUGUGUAGUGAAGUUCUUCUAUUUUGUAUAAUGAUGCGGUUCACGCUUAAACUGUCCCGCUAUGUAGUCUGUUGGAUCCUCUACUAUGUAGUAUGCUGUGGCAUGUGAUUUGGUCGACGCUGAGAUGUCUCCUCUAUGUAGUCUGUAGGUUGUUCUACUUUUAGGUACCGCGGGCUGUGACGUGAACCUAUCGGGUCUAAUCAUCUGAACUCUGAUAUAUUAGUAUCUAAGAUCAGCAGACAUUAGUCAAUUUUGUGUGCCUGGUUA